UGGGGAAUUUUGGACAAUGGGCGAAAGCCUGAUCCAGCAAUGCCGCGUGUGUGAAGAAGGCCUUCGGGUUGUAAAGCACUUUUGUCCGGAAAGAUAUGGCUCUGGUUAAUACCUGGGGUCGAUGACGGUACCGGAAGAAUAAGGACCGGCUAACUACGUGCCAGCAGCCGCGGUAAUACGUAGGGUCCAAGCGUUAAUCGGAAUUACUGGGCGUAAAGCGUGCGCAGGCGGUUGUGCAAGACCGAUGUGAAAUCCCCGAGCUUAACUUGGGAAUUGCAUUGGUGACUGCACGGCUAGAGUGUGUCAGAGGGGGGUAGAAUUCCACGUGUAGCAGUGAAAUGCGUAGAGAUGUGGAGGAAUACCGAUGGCGAAGGCAGCCCCCUGGGAUAACACUGACGCGCAUGCACGAAAGCGUGGGGAGCAAACAGG
rnacentral:rRNA from 1 species